GACAGAGGGUGCAAACGUUGUUCGGAAUUACUGGGCGUAAAGCGCAUGUAGGCGGCCUAGCAGGUCGGAUGUGAAAUCCCUCGGCUCAACCAAGGAAGUGCAUUCGAAACCGCAAGGCUCGAGUCCCGGAGAGGUGAGUGGAAUUCCCAGUGUAGAGGUGAAAUUCGUAGAUAUUGGGAAGAACACCGGUGGCGAAGGCGGCUCACUGGCUCGUUUCUGACGCUCAGGCGCGACAGCGUGGGGAUCAAACAGG
rnacentral:rRNA from 1 species